UGUUGCGGUUAAAAAGCUCGUAGUUGGAUUUCUGUUGAGGGCGACCGGUGUACACCUCGUGUAUUAUUUGGUUCGGUCUCGGCAUCCUCUUGGGGAACGUUUCUGGACUUUAUUGGACAGGGCGAGAUUCAAGACUUUUACUUUGAGGAAAUUAGAGUGUUCACGGCAGGCAAGCGCUUUGAAUACAUUAGCAUGGAAUAAUAAUAUAGGACCUUCGUUCUAUUUUGUUGGUUUCUAGAACUUAGGUAAUGAUUAAUAGGGACAAUUGGGGGCAUUCGUAUUAACGCGUCAGAGGUGGAACUCUUGGAUUGCGUUACGACGAACUACUGCGAAAGCAUUUGCCAAAGAUGUUUUCAUUGAUCAAGAACGAAAGUAUGGGGAUCGAAGACGCUUAGAUACCGUCGUAGUCUAUACCAUAAACUAUGCCAACUAGAGAUUGGUGG
rnacentral:rRNA from 1 species